rnacentral:tRNA from 1 species
GGAGGCGUGGCAGAGUGGUUGAUUGCACCGGACUGUGACUCCGGCAAAGGCUCCAGCACGGGGUCUUUCGUGGGUUCGAAUCCCACCGCCUCCG